rnacentral:lncRNA from 1 species
GUUUGUCACCUCUUAGCCGUGCCUACUGGGUCACUGUGUCCUUAGCAGGAAAAAGAAAGAACUGGGGAAUAGCAGGCGAUUCUUUCCUUUCUAUAAGGCAGCUCCAUCUGCAGGGGAUGGGCGGCUCCUUGCUCAAGGGAGUGGAGCACAACCUCUCUCCAGUCCCUGGCUUCCUGUGACACUAUGCGAGCGCCAGGAGAGACAUCAGGAGUGGAAGACUUUGGGGAAGCGAACUUCACCAAUACUGUCUAGCCUCCUGAGUGCUGGGAUUACAGGUGCACACCACCACGCAUGGCUGAUAUUCUGGAAAAGGCUAAAAUACAGAGAUGGAAAACAUAUAAGAAGCAAGUUGGAAUUACCACGCAGCCUUGUAAACCAAAGGGAAGAUCAUGCUCAAGAUAUGACUGAGCACAUGGCUGGAGAGAAGGAGUCCUAUGUACGACCCGGUGAAAUUUAACUUGCUGCUUUGACUAAGUAUCUGCUUCACUAAAUUCACUUUGCUGCUUUUCAGCUCUGCAUUUUCUUUGCAUGUAAGCAAAUGAAGCUAUGGGCCUUAAUGAAUGGUCCCCAUGGGCAGGGAAAGACCUUUGCAC